rnacentral:lncRNA from 1 species
AUUUAAGGCUAAUUUUUUUUUUAACUAUCAUAUUCAAAGUAUAUUACAGUAAAAAAACGAUUUUAUGUCCCUCAUUGAAAACUUGAGAGUUUGCUUGAUUAUUUUCUCAAAUCUUAAAGGUGUAGUUAUCUUUUUUUCCAAAAUUUUAUUAUCAAAUAAUCAAAUUUCUAAAAGUUGUCGCAUUUUUUUUAUAGAAGCUAUAAUUAGGUUAGCUGCUUUUAAGAAUCUACAAAUCUAAUUACUUGAAAAUCAAAUUAUUUAAUAAUCACUUUUGAAUUGAAUUUAACAACACUCUUUGGAUGCUCGUUGUCGAAGCACAUCUUUACCUGGCCUGGACGCCUGGUGCUCACCCUACACAGUCGAAAGGCAAUGCCUGUUUGGAAAGUUAGACUACUAGCCCAUUUGGGAGUGUGCUGAGGUAGUUGAGCUGCCAAAACCCAGCUACUAAAGUGUUUGGUAACACUUUAGUAGUUGAGCUUUGGUAGCUUAGUAAAAAAAUUUUCUUAACUUCUACUCCACAGCUGUAGCUUUUAAUCCACAGCAGCUGCAGUUUAAAAGUUACCACCUCACUUCGAAGGAAAUUAAUUGAUGGAUAAUAUUUGAUUAAUUUCAUCCAUUU